UAGGGAAUCUUCGGCAAUGGACGAAAGUCUGACCGAGCAACGCCGCGUGAGUGAAGAAGGUUUUCGGAUCGUAAAACUCUGUUGUUAGAGAAGAACAAGGACGUUAGUAACUGAACGUCCCCUGACGGUAUCUAACCAGAAAGCCACGGCUAACUACUUGCCAGCAGCCGCGGUAAUACGUAGGUGGCAAGCGUUGUCCGGAUUUAUUGGGCGUAAAGCGAGCGCAGGCGGUUUCUUAAGUCUGAUGUGAAAGCCGCCGGCUCAACCGGGGAGGGUCAGUGGAAACUGGGAGACGUGAGUGCAGAAGAGGAGAGUAGAAUUUCAUGUGUAGCGGUGAAAUGCGUAGAUAUAUGGAGGAACACCAGUGGCGAAGGUGGCGCUCUGGUCUGUAACUGACGAUGAGGCUCGAAAGCGUGGGGAGCAAACAGG
rnacentral:rRNA from 1 species